rnacentral:rRNA from 1 species
GACGAACGCUGGCGGCGUGCCUAAUACAUGCAAGUCGAGCGGAACCAUUGGAGCUUGCUCCUUUGGUUUAGCGGCGGACGGGUGAGUAACACGUGGGCAACCUGCCCUGCAGAUCGGGAUAACUCCGGGAAACCGGUGCUAAUACCGAAUAGUUUGCGGCCUCUCAUGAGGCUGCACGGAAAGACGGUUUCGGCUGUCACUGCAGGAUGGGCCCGCGGCGCAUUAGCUAGUUGGUGAGGUAACGGCUCACCAAGGCCACGAUGCGUAGCCGACCUGAGAGGGUGAUCGGCCACACUGGGACUGAGACACGGCACAGACGCCUACGGGCGGCAGCAGCAGCGAGUGUGGCGCAAUGGUCGAAAGUCUGAAAGAGCAACGCCGGGGGAGAGAAGAAGGUUUACGGAUCGUAAGACUCUGUUGUGAGAGAAGAACAAGAACCAAGUAACAACUGGUACCUUGACGGAACCUUACCAGAAAGCCACGGCUACCUACGUG